rnacentral:rRNA from 1 species
AUUGAACGCUGGCGGCAUGCCUUACACAUGCAAGUCGAACGGUAACGGGCCUUCGGGUGCCGACGAGUGGCGAACGGGUGAGUAAUGCAUCGGAACGUACCCAUCAGUGGGGGAUAACUCUCCGAAAGGAGGGCUAAUACCGCAUAUUCUGUGCGCAGGAAAGCGGGGGACCGCAAGGCCUCGCGCUGAUGGAGCGGCCGAUGUCAGAUUAGCUAGUUGGUGGGGUAAAGGCCUACCAAGGCGACGAUCUGUAGCGGGUCUGAGAGGAUGAUCCGCCACACUGGGACUGAGACACGGCCCAGACUCCUACGGGAGGCAGCAGUGGGGAAUUGUGGACAAUGGGGGCAACCCUGAUCCAGCCAUGCCGCGUGAGUGAAGAAGGCCUUCGGGUUGUAAAGCUCUUUCGGCCGGGAAGAAAUCACAUCUCCUAAUACGGGGUGUGGAUGACGGUACCGGAAUAAGAAGCACCGGCUAACUACGUGCCAGCCGCCGCCGUAA